CUAACAGUUUGCCAUCUCAUAGUCUGCAUCGAGCUUUAUCCGCCUUCACUGAAUAAAAAAAAUCUUUCUUUAGAUCUAUUAUGAGUUUAAUGUGACUCAGGUUAGACAGUUUCAGAACCACCUUUCUGUCUUUCUUUCUUUCUUUUUUACUAGCUGUUUGCCUUUGCUUCUUUUUCAUGUUCAAAUUGCAAGUCGUCAGAGACUUGUGACAUUUGAAAUAUGAGACUGGCCAUAUUUACGAAGUUAGACAAUACACGAAAACCACAUGAAAAUCAAAAUAAGUAGGAUGCGGUUAGGAGCUGUGCUUUCAUUUAUUGAAGUCCCUACAGAUGUUUUGCAUAAAGACGUUUUUUGGGGUAAUGAGGGGGAGUAUUUGAACGUAAACUGAACCUGGUUGGCUUAACUUAUAGGAUUCUACAGUAACCCCGGAUAAGCACAGAGGAGGCUGAAUCUGGGCAACUGUUGCAAAAAGUAGCCAACAGGAAAAACAAUGUGACUGUGUCCGAGGUUUGUGGGUGUACAACUCAGCGCACGACAAUGACAACUACCCCGGGGGUGUUCUCUUUCUGUGCAAAAGCCCACAAGACCAGAGAGGUGGUUCAUUUACUUGGCCAUAAACCAUUUAUUUACCUUCAGAUCCCCGUGGAGCUGCCUUGAAGAAGGAUCCUAAUAUCACAUAUCAGUUAGAUGACCAAGUUCAGGCCCUGCACGACUGCUGCAGCUCAGCGCUGGAGCUCCGAUCAAUGGAAUACUGUUGGGGAUACAAUGGACCACACCCACAUACUGAUUAGACCCUCUGAUUGGAUAUCACAUGGAUGUCUUGACCACUACCAUGGCUUUCAUGCAAAUUGAUGAAGGGGAGAGGAAGCUGUGCUGGUGUUGUUGUGGCGAGAGACUUCAAAGAUGUUGGGAUGUCAGUCAUGAGCAAGUAGAGGGCAGAACCUGGUCAACGGCAGGGAUUUAUCGUCUAAUAGCCCCUCUGGGGGGACUUUAG
rnacentral:lncRNA from 1 species